rnacentral:rRNA from 1 species
AUGCCGGGAAUUUUGGGAAGACUGCCUCGGUCAACGGGGAGGAAGUUGGGGAUGACGUCAAGUCAUCAUGGUCCUUACGUCNAGGCUACACACGUUCUACAAUGGUCGUACAGACAGGUAACAAUACCGCAAAAUGGAGCCAAUCCCAAAAAACCGCCUCAUUUGGAGUCUGCAACUCGACUCCAUGAAGUCGAAUCGCUAGA